CUUGGUCAUUUAGAGGAAGUAAAAGUCGUAACAAGGUUUCCGUAGGUGAACCUGCGGAAGGAUCAUUAUUGAAAUGACCUUUCUUCUUUAGGCAUAGAGUACUGUUGCUGGCCUUGUAGUAAUAAUGAGGUAUGUGCACGUCCUAUGGUUCUAACGAGGAGAGUGUACUUCUAUUCAUCCACCUGUGCAUUUGUUGUAGGAGUUCUUUGAGGCUGUUUUAUACUUGUACAAUCCGGCUCUUAAAAGAUUUCUAUGUCUUACACACUAUUAGUAUGUCUUUGAAUGUCUUUUAUUGGGACUUGAUUGGCCCUUUAAACUUGUACAACUUUUAGCAACGGAUCUCUUGGCUCUCCCAUCGAUGAAGAACGCAGCGAAAUGCGAUAAGUAAUGUGAAUUGCAGAAUUCAGUGAAUCAUCGAAUCUUUGAACGCACCUUGCGCCCUCUGGUAUUCCGGAGGGCAUGCCUGUUUGAGUGUCAUUAAAUUCUCAACUUCAAUAGCUUUUAUUAGCUUUAUUGAUGCUUGGUUGUGGGAGCUUGCUGGCGUUUUAGAUGUUCGGCUCUCCUUAAAGUGAUUAGUAGAAACCUUUUUGUUAGGUUACUCCUAGUGUGAUAAUUAUCUACGCUUUGAGCAAUCUAAUGAUUCCAUUGGGGCUUGAGAUUUCUCAGUAGCUAAUACUGGUCUGGAUAUUGCAAUUAAUUUUGCUGUAUCUAUUAGUCUCUCAGUAGUAAUACUGGUUUUUGGCAUUGCGAUUAAUCUUGCUUUACCUGUGGCCUCAGAGGGAGAAAGGGAAGUUCUGCUUUCUAACUGUCUAUGGACAAUUUAUUGACUAUUUGACCUCAAUCAUGUAGGACUACCCGCUGAACUUAAGCAUAUCAAUAAGCGGAGGA
rnacentral:rRNA from 1 species